GAUGAACGCUAGCUACAGGCUUAACACAUGCAAGUCGCGGGGCAGUAUGGGGGUUGCUUGCAAUCCCCGAUGGCGACCGGCGCACGGGUGAGUAACGCGUAUCCAACCUGCCCUUCACCACGGGAUAACCCGGCGAAAGUCGGACUAAUACCGUAUGUUGUCCAUUGACGGCAUCCGAUUUGGACGAAAGGUUUGGCGGUGAAGGAUGGGGAUGCGUCCGAUUAGCUGGACGGCGGGGUGACGGCCCACCGUGGCGACGAUCGGUAGGGGUUCUGAGAGGAAGGUCCCCCACACUGGAACUGAGACACGGUCCAGACUCCUACGGGAGGCAGCAGUGAGGAAUAGUGGUCAAUGGGCGUAAGCCUGAACCAGCCAAGUAGCGUGCAGGAUGACGGCCCUAUGGGUUGUAAACUGCUUUUAUGCGGGGAUAAAGUGGCCCACGUGUGGGUUUUUGCAGGUACCGCAUGAAUAAGGACCGGCUAAUUCCGUG
rnacentral:rRNA from 1 species